UCAUGUUUUUGUGUUAUUUUUUUUUAAACAGGAGCACUUGAGUAUAAGAUGGGCGAUGCUCAUAUGAUUAUCCAAGCCGCUACGUGUCUUGAACUUCAAAGCAUGGUAGUAUUGAAAAGAAAAGGCUCGCCAAGGUAAUAAAGAAAACAGUAAAAACUCGAGGAAGAGACGUCACUAACCAAUCUCAGAGUCAGUACGUUAGAGAUACCAGAUUAUGAAAGAGUGUUUUGUGGAGUAGAUAGCUGGAGUCAUCGUAGAAUUUGUAAUC